GUCCAAGUCUUCUGGAAAGGAGUUCCGCGGAGGGUGACAGGCCCGUGCGACCGAUUGCCGCGCUCGCGGACGAGUCCUCCUUCGAGUCGGGUUGUUCGCUAAUGCAGCCCCAAGCAGGUGGUAAGCUCCAUCUAAGGCUAAAUAUAACCACGAGCCCGAUAGUCCACAAGUACAGUGAUGGAAAGUUGAAAAGUACUCUGAAGAGAGAGUCAAAUAGCCCGUGAAGCUGCCAGUAUGGGAUUAAGCGCACGUAUGACGCGUGUCGUCGGCCAAAUAGGCGACUGUUGGGUGUGCCCACUGCGUGCGAGUGCGCCCUGUUGGCGCCUGCUCGUGCGUGGCGUCCGCGCACGCUCGGCAGAACGCUUCCCUUUGGUCGCACAUUGACAGGUCGUGGCUUCGUUGUCCAUGGUCUUAUUGCCGGUCGGCGAUUCGCAGAGCCGUGUCGAGCGUCGGCACGAUCUUGCGGUCGUGUCUCGACGUGCUCCGUCAAUUUGGCGCCCGCGCGGCGGUGACGGUCGGCCUGGUCUGCGCUGCAAUAUGUCGACCGAUGGGGC
rnacentral:rRNA from 1 species